CUACGGGUGGCAGCAGUGGGGAAUAUUGCACAAUGGGCGCAAGCCUGCUGCAGCCAUGCCGCGUGUGUGAAGAAGGCCUUCGGGUUGUAAAGCACUUUCAGCGGGGAGGAAGGCGUUAAGGUUAAUAACCUUGUCGAUUGACGUUACCCGCAGAAGAAGCACCGGCUAACUCCGUGCCAGCAGCCGCGGUAAUACGGAGGGUGCAAGCGUUAAUCGGAAUUACUGGGCGUAAAGCGCACGCAGGCGGUCUGUCAAGUCGGAUGUGAAAUCCCCGGGCUCAACCUGGGAACUGCAUUCGAAACUGGCAGGCUAGAGUCUUGUAGAGGGGGGUAGAAUUCCAGGUGUAGCGGUGAAAUGCGUAGAGAUCUGGAGGAAUACCGGUGGCGAAGGCGGCCCCCUGGACAAAGACUGACGCUCAGGUGCGAAAGCGUGGGGAGCAAACAGGAUUAGAUACCCCAGUAGUC
rnacentral:rRNA from 1 species